rnacentral:misc_RNA from 1 species
UUUCCGUAGGUGAACCUGCGGAAGGAUCAUUACUGAGUGAGGGCCCUCUGGGUCCAACCUCCCACCCGUGUUUAUUGUACCUCGUUGCUUCGGUGCGCCCGCCUCACGGCCGCCGGGGGGCUUCUGCCCCCGGGUCCGCGCGCACCGGAGACACUAUUGAACUCUGUCUGAAGAUUGCAGUCUGAGCAUAAACUAAAUAAGUUAAAACUUUCAACAACGGAUCUCUUGGUUCCG